rnacentral:rRNA from 1 species
GUUUGACCUCAGAUCAGGUAGGAAUACCCGCUGAACUUAAGCAUAUCAAUAAGCGGAGGAAAAGAAACCAACAGGGAUUGCCUCAGUAACGGCGAGUGAAGCGGCAUCAGCUCAMAUUYGGAAUCUGGCUCUUUUAGAGUCCGAGUUGUAAUUUGCAGAGGAAACUUUGGUGCGGUCUUAGUCUAAGUUCCUUGGAACAGGACAUCACAGAGGGUGAGAAUCCCGUAUGUGGCUAGAGACCUUAACCAUGUAAAGUUCCUUCAACGAGUCGAGUUGUUUGGGAAUGCAGCUCUAAAUGGGAGGUAAAUUUCUUCUAAAGCUAAAUAUUGGCCAGAGACCGAUAGCGAACAAGUAGAGUGAUCGAAAGAUGAAAAGCACUUUGGAAAGAGAGUUAAACAGUAUGUGAAAUUGUUGAAAGGGAAGCGCUUGUAAUCAGACUUGUGUGUAAGAGUUCAGCCUGGCUUCUGUCUGGUGUACUCUCUUAUAUACAGGCUAGCAUCAGUUUGGGUGGUAGGAGAAAGAUGUCAGGAAUGUAGCCUCUCUUCUUCGGGACUGAGGUGUU